rnacentral:rRNA from 1 species
UUUGAUUAAUGCCCCAUAGUGUUAUCGAAUCGCAUGGUUUGAUAACUAAAGUUCCAACGGUAUAAGAUGGAGCAUGCGUCCCAUUAGUUAGUUGGUAAGUAACGGCUUACCAAGACAAUGAUGGGUAGGGGGUCCUGAGAGGGAGAUCCCCCACACUGGUACNGAGACACGGACCAGACUCCUACGGGAGGCAGCAGUGAGGAAUAUUGGUCAAUGGGCGCAAGCCUGAACCAGCCAUGCCGCGUGCAGGAAGACGGUCCUAUGGAUUGUAAACUGCUUUUAUACAGGAAGAAACCCUCCCACGUGUGGGAGCUUGACGGUACUGUAGGAAUAAGGAUCGGCUAACUCCGUG